AGUGAACGCUGGCGGUAGGCCUAACACAUGCAAGUCGAACGGCAGCACAGGAGAGCUUGCUCUCUGGGUGGCGAGUGGCGGACGGGUGAGGAAUACAUCGGAAUCUACUCUGUCGUGGGGGAUAACGUAGGGAAACUUACGCUAAUACCGCAUACGACCUACGGGUGAAAGCAGGGGACCUUCGGGCCUUGCGCGAUUGAAUGAGCCGAUGUCGGAUUAGCUAGUUGGCGGGGUAAGGGCCCACCAAGGCGACGAGCCGUAGCUGGUCUGAGAGGAUGAGCAGCCACACUGGAACUGAGACACGGUCCGGACUCCUACGGGAGGCAGCAGUGGGGAAGAUUGGACAAUGGGCGCAAGCCUGAUCCAGCCAUACCGCGUGGGUGAAGAAGGCCUUCGGGUUGUAAAGCCCUUUUGUUGGGAAAGAAAUCCAGCUGGCUAAUACCCGGUUGGGAUGACGGUACCCAAAGAAUAAGCACCGGCUAACUUCGUGCCAGCCGCCGCAGUAA
rnacentral:rRNA from 1 species